CGGAGUGUAGUUCAGUUGGUAGAAUGCACGCAUGGGGUGCGUGAGGUCGCGGGUUCGAGCCCCGCUACUCCGA
rnacentral:tRNA from 3 species